CUUUAUUGGAGAGUUUGAUCCUGGCUCAGGACGAACGCUGGCGGCAUGCCUAAUACAUGCAAGUCGAGCGGACUUGAAGAGAAGCUUGCUUCU
rnacentral:rRNA from 2 species